CUGCAGAGGUGUAUGUAGUCUCUGGAGAAAGGUAGGGAGAUUUCUUUUUUUCCUUUUCAAGAGCUUAAUCUGUGUAAGAGGUCAAGCUGCAGGGAUAAAUGAGGUCUGUGGCUCCUCCAGCUUGUGGAUUGCCCAGAAGGCCCCUCGGAACAGCUUCUGGGUUGUCUGAAUGUUGGCAAUUCUGCGCCACAUCCCCCAGCCCCAAAUAUAUUUUGUGGUGUUUGUUAUUUUCUGAAUUUCGGUGCUUCUGCUGCUGGUCUUGGCCACUUUCCAAAAAGGCAGCGUGGAAACUAUCGCAUGUGACAGGGAUUGCCACCUGCCCGGGUCUUGUCAGACCUCCUGCGGAUCGCUGCUGGAAUAAUCAGGGAUUGUAGAACAGUUGGAUUGUUGGAAUGGCAGUGAACAGAUGUCUCAGCAAAUAACUGAGGGGACUGGUUUAGAAGAGAGAAGAAGAUAAUCAUCAAGGCUGGAAGGGGGUCUCUGAGAUCAUCCAGUGCAACAACCAACCCAGCACUAGCGCUGUAACCCCUAAAUCACUAAACCACAUUACCCACCACCAGAUCCAGAUGCCUACUAAGGAACUCCAGGGAUGGUGACUCCACCACCCCCCUGGCCAACUUAUUCAAAUGCUUGACCACCCUAAUAAUGAUUUUUUUUUUCUCUGAUAUCUAAUCUGGUUCUCCUGUCUCAGCUGAAGGCCAUUUCCUCUGGUCCUAUCACUGCAGGCACAGUAGACGAGACAGACCCCCACCUCACUUCAGCCUCCUUUCAGGGAGUUGUAGAGAUCUCCCCUGGGCCUCCUCUCCUAGUGAUGAAACAAACACAACUCCCUCAGCCAUUCCUCAUAAGACAUGUUUUCUAGUCCUUUCAUAAGCCUUGUUGACUUUCACUGGACAAGCCCCAGCACCUCAAUGUCCUGGAGAUGUGAGGGGGCCAAAGCUGGACCUGAAGUGCAGCCUCAGCAGCUCCAUGUACAGAAGGAUGAUCACCUCCCUUGUCCUGCUGGCCACACUGUUCUUGAUUCAGGCCAAGAUGGCCAUUGGCCUUCUUGGCCACCUGGGCGCAUGCUGGCUCACUCUGAACUGGCCCUCAGUGAGCACCCCCAAGUCCCUUUUUGCUGAGCACCUCUC
rnacentral:lncRNA from 1 species